GGUUGGGUAUGGGCAGAAUCCUAGAUGAUAGAAAAGCAUCACUCCUCUGCGUUUGAGAGAAUGUCUGAAUUCUGAACCCGAAGGGGAGGGGGAGUAGUUUUGUAUAAAAGUUUGUAAUUUCCCCCAGUACUUUUUCGAGCAACGUUAUUUCUCUAUUAUACAUCCUGUGGCGGUGAAUGUUCUCUGUGGCUUCAUGGCCCAGCAUCCUGAGAGGGAUGCACUAGACUGCACUGCAUUUCCUCACUCUGUUAGUGACACAGUCUACAGCAGGCUACUAGAGUAACAGGGAAAGAUAACUAUACACAAGGGUUACUCAAAAUGGACAAAAUACAGUUUACUUUUCCCUGGCUAAUUGUCCUUUUGGGUCUCGUCCUGGCUUCUACCACCACAGCCCAGACACAGCCAGUCAAUCCCACUGUAACCCAGCCCACCUCAGCCUCCAACCCAGCCAACGACACAGCCACUCCAGGACAUGCCAUGGCUGUAGACAACGAUGAUUUAACAUUAUCCGCCAUAACCCCAAGCCUUCCUGAUCUAAUGUUUGAUAACGGUCCUAUAACCAAUUCCACCGGGAGGCCUAACCACACGGUAACUACACCACUGAAGACCAGUUCAGAUGCAUCUCCAGGACCUACAUCCUGGCCCUCACCAAUGGAAGUCUCUACAUCAAAGCCCCCAGCAGAGGCCAGCAGUACAACUGCUGGCACUUCUGCUACUAGCACCACCAAGAAUACAGGUUUGGCGGGAACUGCUCAACCAAAACCCUCUGCGAGAAAAUCGCCCCACAUUGGAUUGAUCAUCUUGAUUGUGAUCCUCAUCACUUCCUGUGUGCUUGUAGCAGCAUGCUUCUUUACAAAGAAGACAUCAAGGAGGUACUCCGUAGAUCUCCGAGACAGGCAUGAGGAUCUGCCUCUGAGUACUGCGGAUCCUGACGCCGUGUUUGACAACUCCUCAACACAGAAGGAGAUGGACACCUUUACCGCCGUGGAUCUCAGCAGCACCGAGGUCCUGGUUAAGGGAAGUGAGGGAGAAAGAGCAGAUAGUGAGAACAUCUCUGACUCCCCACCGCCUGCCAGCCCUGUGGACAAACCUGAUGAUGGGGCCCCUGGAGAUGUGGCCCCUGAGGCCCCAGCGGGGGAGACUGAUGACGAGAACACUGUCUCCAAUAAGACCUCAGUGGAGUCAGUGGAGGCCAACGAGAACAACAACAACAACAACACCAUCACCACCGCCAGGAUCGCUUCAACAUCUCCAAGAGGACGGGCCAUGACCAGCAGCUUCUCUGAGGUUCCUCUGGACAACCCGGCCUAAAAGACAUCCUCCUUUAUCUGCAGCCCCUUCACAACCACGGUAAGCCCCCAUCGGACCCCCAACCUCCCCCCUGCAGCUGCUGAACUACUUCCCCAGCUCAGGUGUUAGUAAACGGAU
rnacentral:lncRNA from 1 species